GGAGGGUGUAGCUCAGUGGUAGAGUGCAUGCCUAGCAUGCAUGAGGUCCUGGGUUCAACCCCCAGUACCUCCA
rnacentral:tRNA from 1 species